UCAAACUUGGUCAUUUAGAGGAAGUAAAAGUCGUAACAAGGUAACCGUAGGUGAACCUGCGGUUGGAUCAUUACUGAUUCUAAAACUUUAGAGUUUUUGUUUCUCUUUUAUUAGAGAUCAAAACCUCUCAACCCCAAAACCUUUUUUACCAAAUCAUUUAUGAUUUGAGUGAACAGUUUUAAAACUAUCAGCCUACUCAAUUUAUUGAAUAGGCUGUUUAUACCUAGAACAAACAUUUUUCAAAAUUUACUUCUUUUUUGAAAGCAUUUCAUAUUUUUUGAAAUGAAGAAAAGAAAAAAAACAACUUUUGACAAUGGAUCUCUAGGCUCUCGCAUCGAUGAAGAACGCAGC
rnacentral:misc_RNA from 1 species